ensembl:lncRNA
GCUGAGGAAGUCAGGGAAGGAACUCAAGCAGGGCAGGAACUGAGGGAGAGGCCAUGAAGGAGCACCGGCUCACUCCUCAUAGCUUGCUCAGCCUGAUUCUCUCUCCCUCUCUCUUAGUUUUUGUUUAGUUAUGUUUUUCUACACAGGGUCUAUCUGUGUAACAGUUCUGGCUGUCUUGGAACUCACUUUGUAGAUCAGGAUGGCCUCCAACUCACAGAGAUCCUUCUGCCUCUGCUUCUGCCUCGUGCACCACCAUGCCCAGCUAAGCCUAUCUUCUUACACAACCCAGGACCAUCACCUCAGAGGGCACCACCCAAAAUGGGCUGGGCCCCCACACAUCAGCCAUUGAUCAAGACAACGCACCAGACAUGCCCACAGGCCAGUCUGUUGGCAGCAGCUUCUCAGCUGGGAUUCCCUCUUCCCAAAUGACUCUAGCCUGAGUCAAGUUGACAUAAACUAGCUAGCACACUGAGCUCCACAAGAUCUAUCUGAAUCCCUCUCUGAGGGCACAGCCCCAGUGAUAUAACACAGAAACAAGUGAUGGUGACAGAGAAGGCUUGUAGAUUCAAGAUACCUUUAUUCAGAUAAAUACCAGCCAAGCGCAAGCCAGAGCGUGCCCACAGGUCGCAAGCUAGCAUGGCCAGAGAGAAGGGCCUUUCUAUGUGUGUGCCUGGUCCCUUAAGAAUUGUCCCUGCGUCAUCCUGGACCUCCCCUGACCACGCCCUCAUGGGCGUGUCCAAGCGUACCUGUCAGGGCUACUAGGAGGCGGGGCUACAGUGUCUCCCUACACCCCAGUGACCUAAUAAACCCUCACCAGGUCCCACCUCGUUCCCAUGUUACAUGAGCCUCCGUAGGGCACGGUCUGACCACAGCCCACAGCAUCAGCUUCCAGGUCCUAGGAGAUAUUUUUGCGAGUCCUUACUGCCAGCCAUGACUGUCUUCCUGGAAACGAGCCUCCGUUUUUCCUUCAGAGCUUCCUGUGUCCUGAGUUAAUUUGAGAAAGGACCAGAGGUGGUUUGGGAAUGUGAGGGCAUAUACAUUUUAGAUAAUGAUGUUUUUAAAAAUAAAUGAAAUUGUGUAUGCAAUUAUUCUGAAUGGCCCUCCCACUGUCACUGUUUUCUGAUUACUGCCUUUAAUAUUGCUGAGUAAAGAAAGUUUAGAGUCAACUUAAAGGCUGCCAAAUUUAAAAAGAUGUUUAUACUCUUUAUAGGUAUAUUGUGUGAGAGAAGCAGGAAAACGAGUCAUAUCCUGAUGUCUAUGUGCUAACGUGCUCAUAUGCAGACAUGCUCACAUGCUGACACGCUCACUGCUAACAUGCUCACAUGCUAACAUGCUCACUGAUGGCCUGUUCUUGAUCUUGAUGUUGAACCCUGCUUAGUUUUGAUUUAUGACUGUCUCUGCCUUACUGUUAUAAAGCCAGGAUUAUGCUUAAAUAUAGAAAUGAUUUCAUAGAUCGUGGGGUUAUUUUGUUUAUAGAUGGUGUCUUUAUGUUUCUUUGGGAUUCUAUUAAGACAUACAAUUUACCUCUAAUUGUCAAUUCCUCUAAUUCUGCAAGAAAAUAGAAUUUAAAAGACUAGAAUCUUCAAAAGUAGGGGUAAGCAGGAGAAACCAUGAACACAUUUUUAAUGUUCAAAUCUAUUUUUCAUAACAAAGAAAGAUGAACUAGAUUGCUGUAACAAUUAACAUAUAAAUGAGUUGCCCUCUUAAACUUGUGUGGUUUCUUUGUCAUUGAUAAGUGUGGGUUCCCUCCUACUUCAUCUGUGACAUCUGCUUCUGCGUGGCUGUCACUCAUCUUCCCUGGGUUCCACACAUUGCCUCUUGCCACAGGUGUGUCCAGG